GAUGAACGCUGGCGGCGUGCCUAAUACAUGCAAGUCGAGCGAACAGACGAGGAGCUUGCUCCUCUGACGUUAGCGGCGGACGGGUGAGUAACACGUGGAUAACCUACCUAUAAGACUGGGAUAACUUCGGGAAACCGGAGCUAAUACCGGAUAAUAUAUUGAACCGCAUGGUUCAAUAGUGAAAGACGGUUUUGCUGUCACUUAUAGAUGGAUCCGCGCCGCAUUAGCUAGUUGGUAAGGUAACGGCUUACCAAGGCAACGAUGCGUAGCCGACCUGAGAGGGUGAUCGGCCACACUGGAACUGAGACACGGUCCAGACUCCUACGGGAGGCCGCAGUAGGGAAUCUUCCGCAAUGGGCGAAAGCCUGACGGAGCAACGCCGGGUGAGUGAUGAAGGUCUUCGGAUCGUAAAACUCUGUUAUUAGGGAAGAACAAAUGUGUAAGUAACUAUGCACGUCUUGACGGUACCUAAUCAGAAAGCCACGGCUAACUACGUG
rnacentral:rRNA from 1 species